rnacentral:tmRNA from 2 species
GGGGAUGUUCCGGUUUCGACAGGCAGGAAAGACCUUUGAGUGCAGUGGUGUGGUGACCUAAUCACCGGCAAAAGACAAGUGCCAAGAAACCUGUCAUGUUCCGUGCUCCGGCCCCUAUGAUGGCCGCCGCUUGCUGCUAAGCUUCGCUUAACAAGCAAUUCGCGCAGAGCUCCGCUCUGGCACAAGCUAGCCGAGAUCUUCUCGAUCAUCGCGGUUAGUUCUUUAGAUCGAGGUCGCCUGGAGAGUCGCAUUUCCUCGACAAGCGACCAACAUGAAAUGCUGGAUUCCUUGCGGACUGCCUGAGAUCCUCGGGAAUCGAGACUCAAUCUCCGGAUAAACUGUAGGACUCACUGGAAAAUCCUGUUUGGACGCGGGUUCGACUCCCGUCAUCUCCACCA